rnacentral:rRNA from 1 species
UGGAUUCUGAGACACGAAUCCAGGCCCUACGGGGUGCAGCAGGCGCGAAAACUUUACAAUGCUGGCAACAGCGAUAAGGGAACCUCGAGUGCCAGGUUACAAAUCUGGCUGUCGAGAUGCCUAAAAAGCAUUUCAUAGCAAGGGCCGGGCAAGACCGGUGCCAGCCGCCGCGGUAACACCGGCGGCUCGAGUGGUAACCGUUAUUAUUGGGUCUAAAGGGUCUGUAGCCGGCCGGAUAAGUCUCUUGAGAAAUCUGGCAGCUUAACUGUCAGGCUUUCAGGAGAUACUGUCUGGCUCGAGGCCGGGAGAGGUGAGAGGUACUUCAGGGGUAGGGGUGAAAUCUUGUAAUCCUUGAAGGACCACCAGUGGCGAAGGCGUCUCACCAGAACGGACCUGACGGCAAGGGACGAAAGCUAGGGGCACGAACCGGAUUAGAUACCCGGGUAGUCCUAGCCGUAAACGAUACUCGCUAGGUGUCGGCCACGGUGCGACCGU